UGCACCGGGGUCACCAUCUCUUGCCAUUUCCUGGCAAGUACAAGAAACGUUGUGAGAAGAAAUUAUUGCACACUGCAACAGAUCUCGUACUGCUCAUGCAAUGACAUUCUUACCAGGAGCAAUGCCACGUUGUUCUCCUUCAAGGUCCUGUUCGAUUCUUCGUCUCUCUGGCGAGUGAUGCUAGUUUUAAACGAACUUCAACGAGGUUUUUCUUCAGCUUCCGGCACCUUCGUGCCAAGGUGUCAAUCUUUGUCAGCAUUUGGUUCAGCUUCUUUGUUGUGAGGUUGGUUUGUGAUGAUAUCUGUCGACGUGGUCUCGUUGUAGCCGCUAGUGCUGGAUUACUGAUUUCACCAGUACAGUUCCCUUCUGCUGGGUCACACUCCACCUCUGUCAGGGGCAGCCGAUUGAAAGUGGGGUCCCUGUUUUCAUCUGCUUCUUGGAGAGGCUGUCUCUUGGGGGCACCUUAGGAGCGCCUGCAUAAAAGUUUAUUAAGCGUUAAACAAAUACGGUGCAGAAGCGUGCGAACAUUACUUUUGCCGUUCUGCUGGUCCCCCAGUAUUCUCUGCCCUUUGUUUUGGGGCUUUUCGUGGUUUCUUUGGGCAGGGCUGCUUGUAGCUUGGGUACUGUGGAAAAACUGAAGGCACGGCUGUUGGCUUGAGCUUUCUUAUCUUCAGCCCUUCCUUGUAGUCCUCGGGCAUAAAGUGCCGCGAGCACACCUGGGAUCGGUCGUUUGGUCGCCACAGCUCGUUGUUGCGGCCUAUGUGUAAUAAGAUUCCUUAUCGUUAGCAAGGCGCUCGCAAUCACUUGGGAGAAGGGGCUGUACUUUAGAAAAGCAGAAGCAUGCUACUCACCAGACCUUGAAAUAGCCUUAAUCCACGCGUCACGAAGCCCGGACGACGGGAACUCGUGAAACGAAACUUUUUCAUCUCGAACCUUGUUCCCGUCAGACUUGCAGAUGGGCACGCAACAGUAGACCAUGUGAACAGUUCACCAAGUGACACGUAACAGCCUAACACACGUGAAACUAACAAUUACAACUGCUUAACAAGCGCUGAUAACGACAGCAGCAUGCCAAAGUCGGAAGUAAACACGCCCACGGCGAGUGAUGGGCAGGCUACACGCUACACGCGUGCACGGAGGACAGUGGUUUAGCAGCGCCACUCCUCGCGGCAGCGUCGGAAUUACGUACUGCCAGGGCGGCCGGUGAGGAGCGCGUAGUGGUUAGGUCUUCUCUCUAUUUAGUAGGUCUUGGCCUGGAUACAGUGCACCACCUCGGCUUAAAGGGACGGUCUCGUACAGCCGAGGCGAUUCCAAAACUUAGCCAAAACUAGUUUCACGAGUACUGUACACAUACAACCGUCAAAGUUUCAUUCGGAAUAACGAAGUCGUUUUCGAGGAAUUUGUCGAAACGUGCCGUAAGAGCAGACGACGAAAGCUGCGCCUCUCUCAUGCAUACGUCACGUAUGACGUCGGCCUGCGGGUGCGUCGUCGUUGUCAUGGUAAUUGUAACUUGCAGAAGCACCUUGGUUUGAGUAAUCCCCUUUGCUCUCGAAAUGGGGACACUCAGGCAUAUACCUCCGCGAGCGGAGAAUGUAGUCCGAGCAUUGACUGUGGGGUCUCCCAUAAUGUGGCGCACAAUCGGAUACGUGGAAGCUCAGUCACGUGUUUUCUUUCUGCGAGUAUUUAAUGCGGUUUUUAAAUAAACACGUUCUCCUUCUCCAUGUACGUCGUCAGCGACACUUCAUUUCGAAGCAAGAUCAGUGUACAACGAGGAGUGUAAUGGAAGCGCGCGUAAUAUAUUUUUGGUCGGAGCUGUAAUGCGACCGCGCGCGCCGAUGGCCAGCGACUUCAGAUUUGUGAUUGUGGAUGGGGUUGUUCUGCGACUUUUAACUUGUUUCUGAGGAUUAACAUAGUUGUUCUGAACCACCAUGCUUGCCACUACUUAGAUUGCGCGUUUUUCACCUGAGAACUGAAAGAAAAUGUACGAGAGUUGCCGCGGUGCCCAGUAACUUCUGAAGAUCGUCUGCUCAUGCCGAUGCACUAGCACGCGCAAAAGCAGACGAUUUCUGUAUCCUAUCAUGGACUUACCCGCAGGGCGACGUGACCGUUCUUAUUGUUGCCAACACAGAUCGCGGCAUGCUCUGCAAUCUUCAUCAAUUUAAUUCGGUAUUUAAUAACUGUGGCGUGUUUUGUUGCGUAAAUUAGCAGUAUUUCAUUUUCAACAAAGGGCAAUCGAAUGGUACACUUUAUGAAAGAGGCAGGGGGUACGAGACCGUCCCUUUAAGGUUGGUACUUGGAGCUUUCAGGACUUCCCCAGUUCAAAGUCUCUUGCCCGUAUUCACCAGUCCCACUUAGCCACUGCUUUAGUGACGUCUGGUUUAAGUUGAUCACGUGAGUACUUCGUCCGCCAAUCACGAACAACCACCCCGGUGGUCUAACCCGUCUGCAGUGAGGCCCAUGGCGACUUCCAUGGAGUUUGUGUGCGCAGCGCAUAGGCCUAAUCUACGGUUCGCCGGAAAAUUUUCGGAUAAAUUCAGGUAAGUUUUGAUUUGUAAAGCUACUAGAAGUGUUUGAAAGGCGGACGUUCUCACACUGGAAUCAAUAUUUGCCCUGAAUGCCUCAUUUCGUUCACCGUUCACACGGGUUAAACCUGGCGGUCUAGCGACGGUCUAAUUCCCAUGUAUUUACAUAGGACAGGCUUAGACUAGGGGUGGAGGUAGUUUAAAGCCGGUCUAGCGCGGAGCAGCUGUGAAUGAGCCUUUCGAUAAACAACCGAAAAAAUUGUUUUUGCUAGGUCAUGUUGCCUAGUUUUCAAGUCGAAAUUGCACAAACUAAGCAAAAAGAACGGUGUAAGGAACUCGUGAGCGAAGUGAAGCGAUAGAAGUAAUACGCCCGCCGCCGACAAAAAAGGUAAUGAUCAAUAUGGUGUGUAAUUUUGAAAUCCGCUCCAAAAAUUUAAAACCAAGAACGUCAAAGUUAGUGGUGUCAACAUUGGCAGCUAGACACAAGUCACUUUCCGAUCCAAAGCUAACAGAUGGUGUAUGGUUGUACGGCGCCGGCGCUGCACACAGCUGUUACCUCCAGCGACCAAAACGACGCUGAUUAUCCGUGGUACUUUUAAUACAGCUCAUAAGUGCCUCUGUUAUACCUCACUACACUAUAUUGUAUGCAUUCGUGUUGGUUUUGUAGCGCCUCGUAGUGUGAUGUUGCUGGGUUUGACGUAUGGGGCUGGUGCAUAAUGCUUCGGUUAUUGUGAGUGACAAAACGUGUGAUUUCGCAAGUUUGAUGCUUCUGCUGAACUACACGGAGGCCACAAAAGGGGGGUUCUAUGGAGCAGUUAACUCUCCAUGUGCUUUUCAGCUACACAGGAGGAUGGCACAUGUAGCCCGCCUUGGAGAUGUUAAUAGAGUGACGUUCCAAAAUAAUAGUAUUUUGAGAGUACCUGGCGGUAUAUGUUGGAUGUCCCUGUGCAUGACCAAGGAACAAUAUUUCAGGUCUGACUCUGGAAAAGGCACCGUAUGGAGAAAGCUCUAGAUCCCCUUGAAGGCUUGAUUUGCUUGUCAAGAAUGCCAAAUCGCUAUGAGCAUGUCCCUUGCCACAAUUUUGUACAGUACACCACACCAGAAGGGGAGUGCAAAUAUGCCAACAACCAACAUUUCCUCGACUAUGAUGCACUGUGACGUUGGAAAAUAUUCAAGGUAACUUUGUCAAAGUAACAGCUGCCACUGAAAUGAAGCUGAACCAUUGUGCGCCCACAGGGACUAACAUGCAAAGCGUUCGAAUUGUUGGACGAUCUAAGCGUGUUGCACUCCUCCACAGAAAGCUGAACGUUGAACUCAACUGCUCACACGGCCAGCAGCUGCGUAGUGCUAUUUUGUGUCCGAAGUAACUUCGAAGUAACUCGUUCUUGUUUCUAAGGAACUGCGAGUUACAUUUCAGGCUGAAGAACUUGAAUAUUACCUUAGUUACAUUUUUCAUACAGUAACUUAACUCGUAACGAGACGGGUAACUUCUCUAUCUAUGCUAAUUAGUGUAUCACAUGUGAGAGGUAAUAUCAGGUUCCGGCGACGUCUUGCUCCUGGUUCCUACAUCUUACUCCCUCGACAGAGAACCAUGCAGUUCACGGCAGAUCAUCCUUUACUGUACUGAAAAAUGCUGGGAAAUGACGCACAGCGUACCAUUGAACUCCAUUGCAAAAGGCUAUCGCCAAUUUCUCAAGAAAACGGAAGAAACGGUCACGUGGUAGAUAGGAGUAUCUCAGAGUCCCAUUCGCAGGCCAGCACGCUCCCCGUUGAAAAGAGGGCGGGAGACCGCUCCUGUGUUCCCUUCCUCCAUGCUCUGGACCACACGCCAGCCUCUUUCCCUUCGUCGCUAGAGGUCUGCGUUGCUUGUGGAUGUCACUGUGAACUAUUAAAAUUUAUGCCGCCUUCACACUGCGGUGCUGAAUGAAAGGAAGCCGCCGAUGCAAUAAUACAAAAUGUAGCCGUCGUGUAGCUCAUCUUUUUUUACACAUCGAGUUACAAAAAUGUACAGGGAUGUCAUGAACCUUUUGAAGGUGAAGCUGUAGGAGGUACAUGGACUAACCAGUUCUUAGUUUAUUAAUUUGUCUGUUCUAUAAUUUCGGCAAGAUUCCGAGCGAUGCAGAGAGCUUAUGCGCGGCAGCCGAGAGGAAAGUAUAGGCGUUUUUGCCGUCUCGCGAACCGGUUACCGCAUCAUAUUUUUUCGGUUCAGUUCCGGUUCGUUCAAGGAGAGAGAAAAAAUGUUUACGGUUUGGUUCGGGUUCGGUUCGGCAAAAAAUAACGGUUUUUUGCGGUUUUCGGUUACGGUUCAGUUCCGGUUCCGACCCCUGCUUUUGAAUAGUUUCAUUGCAUUAAAGGUCAGCUAUGCCGAUAUCCCAAAUAGUCGAAACGGUUGUGAUAUUCUGAAAGCCCACAUCCAGCUCUCCCCAAAAUGCACCUUCAUUCUCUCAGUUCGGUACAGUACCAUGUCAAAAAAAUAGAUAAUUCAUUCCGAAACACACAUGGGCGCAGCCAUUUUUAUGACGUAGAUGCACCCGAACGGGCAUUGUGACGUGUACGCGCCUUCGUACUUGCCAGUGGAUUUCAGCUACGGCUUCUCGCGGCUUCACGUAUCUGUGCUUGAAGAUGGCGGACAGCCGGGUUCCACCGUUCCGCGAUAAGUAAACAGUGCAGCAGCUGCGAACUCAUUCGCGAACCAACCUCUGUGCGAUGUUGUGAUUGGAAUUCGUCGUUUGUGUUUUGUGAGCAUGUACAAUUUGUAUCAAGUCUCGUCUGCGUUAGCGCCUUUACAGCACUUGCCCAUUGUAGAGACUGACGUUUCGACAGCCGUGUUAGCAAGAAAAUGCCGACAGCGUUUUAUUCCUGCAGGAAAAAAUUGUGCUGUGUAUUUGAGAAACCGCAUACUACUAUGGGACAAGUUUUACGUACGAUUUUUCAAUGUGCAACAGCGUCGACGAUGGUAUGUAACGACGAGAGACGUAAAACGAAAUACAAAUCACAUUUUAAACUUUU